rnacentral:rRNA from 1 species
GACGAACGCUGGCGGCGUGCCUAAUACAUGCAAGUAGAACGCACAGUUUAUACCGUAGCUUGCUACACCAUAGACUGUGAGUUGCGAACGGGUGAGUAACGCGUAGGUAACCUGCCUGGUAGCGGGGGAUAACUAUUGGAAACGAUAGCUAAUACCGCAUAAUAUUGAUUAUUGCAUGAUAAUUGAUUGAAAGAUGCUAUUGCAUCACUACCAGAUGGACCUGCGUUGUAUUAGCUAGUAGGUGAGGUAACGGCUCACCUAGGCGACGAUACAUAGCCGACCUGAGAGGGUGAUCGGCCCCGCUGGGACUGGGACACGGCCCAGACCCCUACGGGAGGCAGCCGGAGGGAAUCUUCGGCAAUGGACGAAAGGCUGACCGAGCAACGCCGCGUGAGUGAAGAAGGUUUUCGGAUCGUAAAGCUCUGUUGUAAGAGAAGAACGGGUGUGAGAGUGGAAAGUUCACACUGUGACGGUAGCUUACCAGAAAGGGACGGCUAACUACGUG